rnacentral:rRNA from 1 species
CGCCAGACUCCUACGGGAGGCAGCAGUGGGGAAUAUUGCACAAUGGGCGAAACCCUGAUGCAGCGACGCCGCGUGAGCGAUGAAGUAUUUCGGUAUGUAAAGCUCUCUCAGCAGGGAAGAGAAUGACGGUACCUGACUAAGAAGCCCCGGCUAACUACGUGCCAGCAGCCGCGGCAAUACGUCGGGGGCAAGCGUUAUCCGGAUUUACUGGGUGUAAAGGGGGCGUAGACGGCGGUGCAAGCCAGAUGUGAAAGCCCGGGGCUCAACCCCGGGACUGCAUUUGAAACUGUGCUGCUAGAGUGUGGGAGAGGCAGGCGGAAUUCCUAGUGUAGCGGUGAAAUGCGUAGAUAUUAGGAGGAACACCAGUGGCGAAGGCGGCCUGCUGGACGAUGACUGACGUUGAGGCUCGAAAGCGUGGGGAGCAAACAGGAUUAGAUACCCGAGUA